GUUUUUAUUAAUAAUGUGAGUAUUUAUUUGAAUUAAAAUAUAUUUUAACACUGUAUAACGAGUUUUGUCAUAAACGCCGAGAAAAUAGUCCGCGGCCGAGUAUAAUGCAGUACAAGUUGUGGAUACAGAUGUUGAAAUGGCCAUGAUGAUGCAAGAAUGUGUUUUUAAAAACAAUAAUGUGAUUGAAAUUCAUUUGAUGGUGGACUAAACAUUCAGGUUUCAGGACAUUCUUCUAGACUACAGCUAGCUCAAAGUAUUGGCUGAACGAAAGAUUACCUGGUAGUCUGCCAAUGGGUUGAUCAUUGGAUGAGCCAGACCCCAACCAUUUACUACAGAAGUUUAAGUGGAGACAAACAUAAACACUCUUUCUCAAUCUUCAUUCAUGACUUGUUUCUCACUAUGGAUUCUGAGUCAUGACUUCUUUUUUUCAAAAGCAUGGACACCAGCAGCAUUGGGCACUCAAUUUUCAUAAUCAUUUAUUCUUCUAAAUUUGAUCUGAUAUCUUUAAAUAAAGGAAAGACAAUUCAUUAAUCGUUUGCAAUAUUUCCUGUAAUCUCACUAAAUGUGUUUAAAGUUUGAAGCAAUUCUAUUUGAUAAUUUUAAAAAAAACAU